GUACACACCGCCCGUCACACCACGAGAGUUUGUAACACCCGAAGUCGGUGGGGUAACCUUUUUGGAGCCAGCCGCCUAAGGUGGGACAGAUGAUUGGGGUGAAGUCGUAACAAGGUAGCCGUAUCGGAAGGUGCGGCUGGAUCACCUCCUUUCUAUGGAGA
rnacentral:rRNA from 2 species